rnacentral:lncRNA from 1 species
ACUGACAUUUCUUAUCUUCUGGUGACCUUGUUCUUCCCACCAAAUAGAGUCUCUUGAUCUUUAAGAUCAUGACUCAGCUAACUGAUCCCUAAAGAGGCAGCCCUCCAGGUCACAGGAGGUGUCCCUGGCAUCAUUUGCAGUGAAGUUUUUUCCCAUGGAAUAAGUCUCAUUUGCUAGACCAGAGGAUUUGGGACCAGACAAGAAGCCUUUGGUGGCUUUAUUAGGUGCCAUUAUGGAUAAAGAUUACGAUGGGUCCAGAGACUGGUUGGCCAUUCAGGAUUUUUGGCCUAGACAAUGAGUUUUCUUGACAUCUUUAUGGCAUUUGGCGUUUAAGUGGUUGUGAUGGCUGCAUCUUAUGUUAUAUUUUCCCGCCAUGGGGAUUCAGAUCGGGGUCCCGGGCAGUCAUGUGGACUG